AUUGAACGCUGGCGGCAUGCCUUACACAUGCAAGUCGAACGGCAGCACGGGUGCUUGCACCUGGUGGCGAGUGGCGAACGGGUGAGUAAUACAUCGGAACGUACCUUAUCGUGGGGGAUAACGCAGCGAAAGCUGUGCUAAUACCGCAUACGCCCUGAGGGGGAAAGCGGGGGAUCGCAAGACCUCGCGCGAUUAGAGCGGCCGAUGCCUGAUUAGCUUGUUGGUGGGGUAAAAGCCCACCAAGGCGACGAUCAGUAGCUGGUCUGAGAGGACGAUCAGCCACACGGGGACUAAGACAAGGCCCGGACUCCUACGGGAGGCAGCAGUGGGGAAUUUUGGACAAUGGGGGAAACCCUGAUCCAGCAAUGCCGAGUGAGUGAAGAAGGCCUUCGGGUUGUAAAGCUCUUUUGUCAGGGAAGAAACACCGGCUCUAACACAGUCCGGGAAUGACGGUACCUGAAGAAUAAGCACCGGCUAACUACGUGCUAGCCGCCGCCGUAA
rnacentral:rRNA from 1 species